AGUCCGCCGCCUCCCUCCGAGCGCAGGACGCUCCGACGCCCGCUUGCCCGCAGGCCACCGCAGGCCUUACAGGCUUUGGGCAAGUGCCGAAGUUCACUCAUUUUCUAUUGGUUGUUUCUCCCCAUGAAAGACAUUGAACAUAAGUGGUGUGGAAUAAUGUUAAGCUUCUCUGACGGGUCCUAAAUGGUUGAAGAACACCCCUCAAGAGAUGGAAAGAUUCUAAGAGCCAGAGAGAAUGGAUUACUCCAAGGAAACACAAUGGGACUGAUGACCACAUGAACUCUUAGAGACUGUAGCAGCUUGCACCAGGCCUGUACAGGUUCAAGCCAGAUGGGGUUCCAGCACUGAGAGGGGAAUUGGACAUGGACUUCUACUCCUUACUAAGAAGCUCUCUGCAACUGAUACCGACUUGCAAAGGAAAAUAGUUUUCUCCAAUGAAGUACCACUGAGUAUAUUAACCAUACUUCGA
ensembl:lincRNA RIKEN cDNA 9030622O22 gene